rnacentral:sRNA from 1 species
CCCGGGGGGUACCCCCCGGGGGGGGGGGUAAAAAAACCCGGGGGGUUAAAAAAAACGGGGGGGGGGUUAAAAAAAAACCCCCCGGGGGUUAAAAAAAAACCCGGGGGUUUUUUUAAAAACGGGGGGGUUUAAACCCCCGGGGUUUUACCCCCGGGGGGGGGGAAAAACCCCCCC